rnacentral:misc_RNA from 1 species
AUUAAUUAGUUUUUUGGUAGUUAUUUUUUAAGCCAAUCAUUUUAUAAUUCUUAUUAUGCGGUAACUUUUAGCCAUUUUUUUAAACUAUUAAAUCCAUCCUGGAAGAACUGAUUCAUGACUCAUGUACAGUAGAAGCAUAAGCAAUCAAAUUAAGAGAAAAAAUAACUACCAAAAAACUAAUUAAUUAUCAAAUUCCCAUUACAUUUAAAGAGGAGACCUUCACAGCACUCUUGGUGUAGAUAAAGAGCGAGCUAC